rnacentral:rRNA from 1 species
AGAGUUUGAUCAUGGCUCAGAUUGAACGCUGGCGGCAGGCCUAACACAUGCAAGUCGAACGGUAACAGGAUUAGCUUGCUAAUCGCUGACGAGUGGCGGACGGGUGAGUAAUGCUUGGGAACUUGCCUUUGCGAGGGGGAUAACACUUGGAAACGACUGCUAAUACCGCAUAAUGUCUACUGACCAAACGGGGCUUCGGCUCCGGCGCAAAGAGAGGCCCAAGUGAGAUUAGCUAGUUGGUAAGGUAAAGGCUUACCAAGGCAACGAUCUCUAGCUGUUCUGAGAGGAAGAUCAGCCACACUGGAACUGAGACACGGUCCAGACUCCUACGGGAGGCAGCAGUGGGGAAUAUUGCACAAUGGGGGAAACCCUGAUGCAUCCAUGCCGCGUGUGUGAAGAAGCCUUCGGGUUGU